rnacentral:lncRNA from 10 species
UCAGUCCAGGUGUCUUUGUCUACCCCCGCCCUCCUCCUUCCUGGGUAACUCCUGCUGAUCCUUUGGCUCUCUCUGGUGGCUGGGCCACUCUCCCAGCUCCUGGCUCCCCGAAACCCGUGUCGUAGUGAUCACAGCUUUCCCUACCCUGCCACUCCCAUGCACAGUUCUGCACAGUGUCUGGCGCAUAUGGAGUAGAUGCUCACCAGAGGCUGGUUGACUGUCGGAGAUGAUGGGUGGAUUUGGUGUUUAAGUUGGAGUCUGGGCACUGGCUGGUCUCUGCCUGACCCAGCCACCCCACUGUGGCUCAUCUCUUGCCACUUCCCCUCUCUGGCUCUGGAUCUCGCCAUGCCGAGCCCGCAAGCCUUCUCCAGAUGCCAUGUACUCUCUCCUCCAGGGAGGCAGCGUCCAUGGAGCAAAAGGAAUGCCAGGAUCCUGCACAGGCAGACGCGGGCCAGCCUCAGCACCGACAG